AGCUUUGCACAGUGGCAGUAUCGUAGCCAAUGAGGUUUAUCUGAGGCGUGAUUAUUGCUAAUUGAAAAAAAUGUAAAGUAGAGACGGUGCUUCUAACCAUGAUCCCAAAUUCAUGAGCUAUGAUAAGUGAC
rnacentral:snRNA from 1 species